rnacentral:rRNA from 1 species
GACGAACGCUGGCGGCGUGCUUAACACAUGCAAGUCGAACGCUGAAGCUCAGCUUUUGUUGGGUGGAUGAUUGGCGAACGGGUGAGUAACACGUGAGUAACCUGCCUCCUUCUUUGGGAUAACGCCCGGAAACGGGUGCUAAUACUGGAUAUUCACUGGUCUUCGCAUGGGGGUUGGUGGAAAGGGUUGUUCUGGUGGGGGAUGGGCUCGCGGCCUAUCAGCUUGGUGGUGGGGUGAUGGGCUAACAAGGCUUUGACGGGUAGCCGGCCUGAGCGGGUGCACGGUAACAUUGAGACGGUGCAACGGCCUAGAGUAGUCAGGGGGGCAGCAGUGGGGAAUAUUGGCGAAUGGGCGCAGGACUGAUGCCGCGUGGGUGAGUGAGGGCUGGAGACCGUCGGGUUGUGAACCUAUUUAGCAAAAGGUCAAGCCGCAACAAUGGUUGUGGUGAGGGUAGUGGGUAAAGAAGCCCCGGCUAACUACGUG